UAGCAACAGGUUGCGAGAGUAUAAAAAUAUAGAAGAGAAGGUAAAACAAUAAUAGUUGUUUUAUUUAGUAGAUAAUUGAAGAAAUAAUAAUCGCAAAUAAUUUUAGAAUAGCAAGAACUUGUCGAAUUUUAUAUUGGAAAUAUUAAUUUUAAGUAGCGUGAUGGAAUAAGUAUGAGUCCAUUUUAUGAGAGCAAUCACGUUUUUAACAUCAAACACUAUGAAAGAUCUCGUGCGAACUGCAUGAUUGUGCCGCAUGCGAGCAAUCGCCAUCAACAAUUGAGAGUGGCAACUAAUUGCGACUAACGACGUCAAAGCUUUUACGUUCAACGUCAAACAUUUAUUUUCGAAAUAGAGCCAUACAAUUUCUGUGUGCAGAGCGAAAACGUUUUAAAUUGUGUAUUACACAAACGAGAUCACUCGUUUAAUUCAUGAAAAUGUACGUGUUGGGUAGCAUCCAACAACUGCUUUGUUACGUUGGCUAGGCCGGCGCUGACACAUUAUUUCAAGCAUACGAGUGUACGUACAUAAUUAUUUUUUAUUUUGAGACCAAAGUGAAGUAACAAUAAAAGGCAUAACAAAAACAUUCAUUAAAAGAACAAGUGUCACAAAAGAGUAAAUGCAGAUGAGCUGUCGGGCCUUCAAUGGCAACAACACGAUGUUGAUUUCGAUGUCAUCUUCGGCUAGUUGCCAGAUGGUAUUAAAUAAUUCUUCAUAGUAAUAAAAAAAAAAACGUCUUAAAGGUGUGGUCUCCAAUAAAUGAUGAACUUAAUAGUCAUGUGGACUAAUGAACUACGUCGAAAACAGCCCCAUUCAGACGAUGACUGUUCAGCGCCGUUGGCUAUAAUCAUGUAAACUCGAAUGCAUUUGAAGUCUUUUUACAUUUCACUAUGCUGCACAAAAUAAAUAAUUUUGUGGAAGUGAAAGUAUUAAUCAUAUGGAAGUUAGUGAACGAUCCUUGAGAAGCAAUACCUAACGAACGGUUUAAACACUAGGUGUGCUCUAUGACGUAACAAUGCAAAGCAGGUUUAGAAAAUAAUGGCUCGACGAACAGAUUCAGUCUGGGUAUGAUUGGUUUUCUAAAUACUGUUUUAAAUACUAUUAUUUUCUUUUAACAAUAAAUUUGUGACCUACUAUAGUAGUCCAUACUAUUAUACGAGCAUA